rnacentral:rRNA from 1 species
UAGGAAGGAAAAGAAACUAACAGGGAUUCCCUUAGUAAGUGCGACUGAAAAGGGAUGAGCCCAGCGCAUAAGCCCAGUUCUCCGAACGCUCAAUGGGCGGUGUUGCGUUUCAGAGUGUUGAAGGUUGUUGGAUCCCUGCACCGUCUAAAUUGCAUGUUGGAAGAAGUUACAUAUCCCCACAGAUGGUGAAAGGCCAGUAAGGCGGAACGUCUUGGAUGACGCUUGGGAACCAAAGACUAACAGCACUCUGUAGAGUCGGGUUGCUUUGCAUAGCAGCCUAAAGAAGGUGGUAAACUCCUUCUAAA